rnacentral:SRP_RNA from 1 species
GCUGGGCUUGGUGGCGCAUGUCUGUAAUCCCAGCAACAUGGGAGGCAGAGACUGGAGGAUCACGAGUUCAAAGCCUCCUCAGCAGAAAUAAGCGAGGUGCUAAGACAGCUCAGUGAGACUCUGUCUCAA